UAGAUAUCAGUCGACAUUGUUUGUGCGCACAGCGAAAAUUCAGUCCAAAUUUUUUUGUGGAAAAUGGAAGUAAAAGGAGGAGAGAACUCUGACAAGCUGAGGGAAUUCGAAAGUCUCAGGGACCUGGACUACCAGGGAUCAGAAAUGAUAGUGCGAAGCAUCCUUGAUUGUAUCUUGGUCAAGGUUUGCAGAAAUAUUAAUGCUACUGAGCAGAG